AAAUGAAAUUCCCAUGUGGGCUUAGUAGCCUUGUUGAUCAUAAUAUUGGAUCGGUAUCCCUCAAGAUCUUUGGUUAAAUUCGGUGGUUAAACUUUAAAGUCACUAAGGAGUGGAUAAACCUGUCAGGAGGGGUUCAACGGUAAAGAAUGAGAGAUGUAGGUGAAAUGAUCUUCUCUUUCCCGCAAACUUAUUGACCGAGUUUGAAAGAAGGACCAGUGG
rnacentral:lncRNA from 1 species